rnacentral:rRNA from 1 species
GCAGAGGGUGCUAGCGUUGUUCGGAAUCAUUGGGCGUAAAGGGCGUGUAGGCGGUUUGUUAAGUCACGUGUGAAAUCCCUCGGCUCAACCGGGGAACGACGCAUGAAACUGGCAAGCUAGAGUACCAAAGAGGGGGGUGGAAUUCCCGGUGUAGCGGUGAAAUGCGUAGAGAUCGGGAGGAAGGCCGGUGGCGAAGGCGGCGCUCUGGAACAUUUCUGACGCUGAGGCUCGAAAGCGUGGGGAGCAAACAGGA